rnacentral:lncRNA from 1 species
CACAAUCCGACGAGCUACAACCUCCCUAUAACAUCACAUAUCUCAUUAAUACUUAUAUCUUCUAAGUGUGACUAUCCCUAAGAAGUCAGACUUAGGUCAACUCUGGUCAACGGUCAACGGUCAACUUGACCGGACUCGGCGAGUACCAUGGCGACUCGGCGAGUCUAGACGUCCUCCAACUUUCUGAGAUUCAUUAUCUACUCGUCGAGUAUCCUCCUCGACCCGACGAGUUACCCCUGGAAGAAUCGCGGGGCCACCCCGACUCCACUCGCCGAGUCUGAAGAACAACUCGGCGAGUCCCAGUAAAUCUUCAAGCUACUCGCCGAGUCUGAAGAACAACUCGGCGAGUCCAUGCCAUGCAGACGAGUAACUGCUUUCUAAAUUACGUAUGAUCCCGAGAUAUACAAUCAUGGGACUUUCUGGACUUCUAAACAUCUUAUUACUGGGGUAUAAACGUUCGGGUAAUAACAUAAUAACCCAUCUAAUCACUAAAUGGGUUUCAUAAACCCUAAUUUCGCAUACACAUCAAAUAACAGAAUUGGAAUCCGAAAUAUUACCUGGAAUAUGCCCUUUCUGAGUCUCCAAACCGCAGAACUCGAAUCCCUUGCUGUUCCUUUAGCCAAAACCCUUCUCCUCUUUGCCCAACAAUCUCUUCAAGCCCUAAUAUCCUCCAAUCUUGCUCUAGAUGCCCACAGCCGUUUAGGGUUCCUCUCAAUCGACUAAAGACGGACAAUGACGGCAUAUAAGAGCAUUAUAUACGAUCCAAAACCGAACGGUUAGGGUUUCUGCUGAACAGCGUCGACUCGCCGAGUCCAUAUCUGGACUCGUCGAGUCCAGUCGCGGACCCGCGACCAAGUCUGCGAUCCUACUCGGCGAGUCUAGGCUCCAACUCGCCGAGUCCCCUCUUAACUCACCCCAAAAACAUAAUUAAACAAUACCUGAGAUUUCGGGCUGUUACAACUCUCCCCCACUUGGAUUAGACUUCGCCCUCGAAGUCUCACUCUGCAAAUAGUUCCGGAUGCUGCUCCCGCAUCUCGCGUUCCGGUUCCCAAGUCAUUUCCGAUCCCUUACGGUGUUGCCAUUGAACCAACACCAGAGGUACCUCCUUGUUCCUCAGAACCUUGAUCUUUCGAUCUCUGAUAGCCACUGGUCUCUCCGCGUAAUUCAGGCUCGCAUCCACCUGAAUAUCCUCCAAUGGAACCACUGCCGACUCAUCGGCUAUGCACUUCCUCAACUGCGACACAUGAAAAGUGUCAUGGAUCUGACCCAACUCCGCUGGCAACUCCAACCGAUAGGCUACCCGGCCUAUCCUUGCAAUCACACGAAAUGGCCCAAUAUACCGGGGCCCCAAUUUGCCCCUCUUCCUGAAUCGAAUCACUCCUUUCCAAGGAGAGACCUUCAGGAGAACGAAGUCGCCGACUUGAAAUUCAAGCUCGGAUCGGCGCCUGUCUGCAUAACUCUUCUGUCGGCUCUGGGCAGUCAAUAACCUUUGUCUCACUUGCUGAAUCUGCUCUGUCGUCUGGAGCACGAUCUCCGUGCUGCCCAUCACUCUCUGUCCCACCUCUCCCCAGCAAAUGGGGGUCCGACACCUCCUACCAUACAACAGCUCAAAAGGUGGCAUACCAAUGCUCGAAUGAUGGCUGUUGUUGUAGGAAAACUCUGCUAAGGGUAAAUAUGCAUCCCAGCUACCCCCGAAGUCUAACACACACGCUCGAAGCAUGUCCUCCAGCGUCUGAAUCGUCCGCUCGCUCUGACCGUCUGUCUGGGGAUGGUAUGCGGUACUAAAAUGCAAUUUAGUACCCAGCUCCUCAUGGAAUUUCUUCCAGAACCUGGAAGUGAAGCGCACAUCACGGUCUGACACAAUCGAGAUCGGCACCCCGUGCCGAGACACCACCUCUUUCACGUAUAUCUCCGCCAACUUUUCCGCUGAAGAACUCUCACUGAUGGCAAGGAAGUGUGCACUCUUCGUCAACCUAUCCACAAUCACCCAAAUUGCGUCAACUCCCCUAGCAGUCCUUGGCAAUUUGGUGAUAAAAUCCAUAGUGAUCUGUUCCCACUUCCACUCGGGGAUCUCCAAUGGCUGUAACUUGCCAUGCGGUCUCUGGUGCUCGGCCUUAACCCUACGGCAGGUCAAGCACCUCUCAACGAACCAUGCCACGUCCCUCUUCAUACAGGGCCACCAAUAUUCCUUCCUUAAAUCCAAAUACAUCUUUGUAGCACCGGGAUGGAUCGAGAAUUUCGAUCUAUGAGCCUCUUCCAUCAACGUAAUACGCGUACCGCCCACGAACGGUACCCAAAUCCGACCCUGAAACGUCAUAAGGCCUCGACUAUCCUUGACAAACUCUGAGAUUAACCCCACAACCCGCUCUUUCUUCUGCAUUUCUGGUCGCACAGCCUCUGCCUGGGCCCCACGAAUAGCGUCCAAUACUGGAGUCAUCACAGUCAGUCUCAAGCAUACAUCUCGCAAUGGAGUGCUCUCCGCCCUGCGGCUCAAUGCAUCGGCUACCACAUUAGCCUUGCCUGGGUGGUACAGGAUCUCACAAUCAUAAUCCUUGACCACAUCCAACCACCUCCUCUGACGCAUAUUUAGGUUGGGUUGAUCCAUCAAAUACUUCAAACUCUUAUGGUCCGUGUAUAUCGUACAUCGAACCCCAUACAAGUAGUGACGCCAAAUCUUGAGAGCGAACACUACUGCCCCCAACUCUAAAUCAUGCGUGGGAUAUCUCGCCUCAUGAGGCUUCAGCUGCCUCGACGCAUAAGCUAUCACAUGACCCCUCUGCAUCAACACUGCACCCAAUCCCGAAAUCGAUGCGUCGCAAUAUACCACGAAAUCUUCCAUCCCUUCUGGGAGAGCUAAUACCGGGGCUUCGCACAAUCUCUGGCGAAGUGUCUCAAAGGAGGUCUGCUGCUCGGGCCCCCAUGAGAAUGUAACACCCUUCCGGGUCAAUCUGGUGAGUGGCACUGCGAUCUUGGAGAAAUCCUUGAUAAAUCUCCGAUAAUACCCUGCCAACCCAAGGAAACUUCUGAUCUCAGAGGGUGACUUCGGCACCUCCCAACUCAUCACCGCCUCAACCUUGGCCGGAUCGACCAAUAUCCCUUUCUGAUUAACCACAUGUCCUAGAAACUGGACCUCCCGCAACCAGAAGUCACAUUUGGAGAACUUUGCAUAAAGCUUCUCCGACCUCAAUACCUCAAGGACCUCCCUCAAAUGCUCCUCAUGCUGCUCUCUAGAUCUCGAAUACACCAGAAUGUCGUCGAUAAAUACAAUCACUGACCGAUCCAACAUCGGCCUGCAUACCCUGUUCAUGAGAUCCAUGAACACAGCCGGGGCAUUGGUGAGUCCAAAAGGCAUCACCACAAACUCAUAAUGCCCAUAUCGCGUCCUAAACGCUGUCUUCUGGACGUCCUCAUCCCGUACUCUCACCUGAUGGUAUCCUGACCUCAGAUCGAUCUUGGAAAACCAAGAUGCUCCCUGCAACUGAUCGAAUAAAUCAUCGAUCCUCGGCAACGGGUAACGGUUCUUGACCGUUAGCUUGUUCAACUCCCGGUAAUCAAUGCACAUCCGGUGUGAACCAUCCUUCUUCUUGACGAACAGAAUAGGUGCUCCCCAUGGCGAGCUGCUCGGCCGAAUGAAUCCCUUUCCCAGCAACUCCUGGAGUUGCGAGGACAACUCUUGCAUCUCUGGAGGUGCAAGACGAUAGGGCACUUUAGCAAUAGGCGCUGCCCCCGGAACCAGAUCGAUACUAAACUCUACUUGCCUCACAGGCGGUACUCCCGGCAACUCCUCGGGAAAGACAUCUGAAAACUCGCGCACCACCGGAACUUCCUCAACUGACUUCGGUUUCUCAGAAACCUCCCGCGUAUCCAUCACAUACGCCACGAAACCCUUACAGCCCUGCCGUAGACACUGCCUCGCCCUAGCGGCCGAACAAAAAGCUGAUCCCGAACGGGUACCCUCGCCGUACACCGAAAGAACUCCCCCUCUAGGGUCUCGUAUAGUCACCAACUGACGCUCACAGUCGAUGACAGCGCCGAACCGGCUCAGCCAGUCCAUGCCCACGAUGACACAGACAUCCCCCAUCGCGAUAGGAAUCAGAUCAAUCGGGAAUCCAACCCCGAAAAUCUCUAGUACACAUCCCCGAAGAACCUCCGUAGCACAAAUCACCUUCUCGUCAGCUAUAGAGACUCUCAAAGGUCGACUCAACGACUCACGACUAACGCCAAUAUGCUGACUAAAGGCCAAGGACACAAAGGACCUACUCGCACCCGAGUCAAAUAACACUAAGGCAGGCACAGAGUUCACAAGGAAAGUACCUACGCGCAUAAUAACAUAAGCAUAACAUAUCGACAUUAAAAUAAUUACAUGAAUUACAACAUACCUGCCACAACAUCGGGCGCAGCGCGGACCUCCUCCGCAGUCAGCUGAAAGGCUCUCCCACGAGCCCUCGGGGCCUCGACCUUCACCGGUCGAGUCUCAGUAGUCCUGGCAACAGGUGCAGAUCCCUGACGAAGCUGAGGGCACUCGGCCUUCCGAUGGCCGGUCUGGUUGCAAUGAAAGCAAACCAUAAAUCCCUUGGGACACUCCCUAGCAAUGUGUCCCUCCUUGCCACACUUGUAGCAAGCACCGGCUCGACACGCCCCAUCGUGACCCUUACCGCACUUUACGCAAGUGCGGUUCUUCGAACCUCCCGUCCUCGAAUCGGCGGACUUGAUCCGCUUGGCUGCCGGCUGAGACUGAGCCGGUCGCCGGUCUGCCUGCUGAGACUCGGCCUCCUCCCUGGCCUGAGUCUCUAACUCGAUCUCACGCUUCCUGGCAUUCGCCUGAAGCUCAGUAAAAGUAUGGUAAGUGGAGUUUGACACAAACUCCCGGAUCUCCCUCCUCAGAACACCCAAGUACCGGCUCAUCCGAGCCUGCUCUGUGGCCACCAGCUCGGGGCAAAACAUCGCCCUCUCAUGGAACUUCCGCGUGAUCGCCGCCACCGAAUCAGUACCCUGCUUGAGGGUUAAGAACUCCUGAACCAAUCGUUCCCGCUCCACCGGGGGAACGUACUCAUCCCUGAACAUGGUAGUGAACCCCUCCCAUGUCACUGCCGCAGUCUCUGCCAAAGUGAAGUUCGCCGUCACGAACUUCCACCAGUCCUUUGCUCCCAGACGGAGCUGGUUCAAAGCGAACCGUACCCUCAGGUGCUCCGGGCAUGAACAAGUGUAGAAGCACCCCUCUAUAUCUGCGAUCCACCUCAUCGCAGCAAUCGGAUCCUGCGUCCCAUCGAACUCUGGUGGCUUCGUGUUGCUGAACUCUCGGAACAGCAAUGAAUCACCCCCCUGUGGCCUAGCAGCGGCCACAGCUGCGGUAGCUGCAGCGGUUGCAGCCUCAGUCAAUGCGGCGUACCGCUCGUCGAACGUCUCCAUCAGGGUGGUCUUGAUAGACCCAAACAUCUCCGGGAUCUCAGCCCGGAUCGCCGCCGCCACCUCCUCGUGGAUCAUCUGACGAAUAUCCUCGUCACUCACACCGCUCGUACUUGCUCCGUGACGCGGUCUAACCAUGAUAUCUCUGAAAUACAACAUAAAACUAUCAGAGAUUCUACCGAGUAUAAUCGUACUCGAUACGCAACCCUACUCAGUCCCAGAUAUCCAGGGAUUCUUACUUGGGCCUCCCACUGACCCGGUGUCCUCGGUAGUACGGGCCCAAUACUACCGACCACACCGCAUCAAUGUUCAUCCCAAGUCCUCCUCCCCAAACUCCAGAUAGUGAGUACUCUACUUCUGAUACGCUCUAUCUACCCGCAUACUAGCAAAGCAUCUCAUAUAGGCAACUUCCCUAGACUAAGGCAUCACAAAUCAGGCCACUCUAGUCCUAUCAUGAAUACCUAGUCUUCUAGCAUGCAUAACAAUUCAUAUCAUAUAAUAUUGUAAGGUAUUUUGGGGAUCUUUACCGUUCGGGCGCUGACUGAUCGUACACACUGCUUCUUUCUUGCUUACCACAAAACCAUUUACAAAAGUUUAUGCCUUUAUUUGAAAAGUUUCCUCAAAUCCUCGGUUUGAGUUCAGUUACCCCCGAAGGUGCACCCGAAUCCCUCAAACCAAGGCUCUGAUACCAAUUGUAACAACUCAAAUUUUUCAAACAAAUUUUUCAUUUUUAAAACAUAAUUAUUUCCAUUAAAAACAAGGCAUAAACAGUUCAAUUAUUCGGUCAAUACAAUUAUUCAAACUCCCAAGAUCAUAAAACAAUCUUCAGUGUGUAUCGAUCAUGCCGGCGCCUUCCCACGGUCCUCACUAGUACCUGAAAUACAUGCACAACAACUGUAAGCAUAAAUGCUUAGUGAGUUCCCCAAUAUACAACUUACGCACAUACGCCUUUCCAGGCCCGACCUUCCGGUCCAUGUGUCUCAGGGGACUUCCGUCCCUGCUGGGUAAACCUUCCGGUCCUACCCACGCCGACCUUCCGGUCCAUCACACAACAUAUCGCCUUCCGGCCCAUAACAUAUUGCCUUCCGGCCCAUAAUAUAAUCGCCUUCCGGCCCAUAACAUACAUAGCACAUAUAACAAAUAACUUACCACAUAUAGCAUACAUAUCACAUAUCAUAUCCGACCUUCCGGUCACACAGUCAAACCCUUCCGGGUACAGUAUAGUGAGAAGACUCACCUCGUAAAAGCUGAAAGCUAGCAAAUCCUGAAAUCACUCGUGCACAAUCCGACGAGCUACAACCUCCCUAUAACAUCACAUAUCUCAUUAAUACUUAUAUCUUCUAAGUGUGACUAUCCCUAAGAAGUCAGACUUAGGUCAACUCUGGUCAACGGUCAACGGUCAACUUGACCGGACUCGGCGAGUACCAUGGCGACUCGGCGAGUCUAGACGUCCUCCAACUUUCUGAGAUUCAUUAUCUACUCGUCGAGUAUCCUCCUCGACCCGACGAGUUACCCCUGGAAGAAUCGCGGGGCCACCCCGACUCCACUCGCCGAGUCUGAAGAACAACUCGGCGAGUCCCAGUAAAUCUUCAAGCUACUCGCCGAGUCUGAAGAACAACUCGGCGAGUCCAUGCCAUGCAGACGAGUAACUGCUUUCUAAAUUACGUAUGAUCCCGAGAUAUACAAUCAUGGGACUUUCUGGACUUCUAAACGUCUUAUUACUGGGGUAUAAACGUUCGGGUAAUAACAUAAUAACCCAUCUAAUCACUAAAUGGGUUUCAUAAACCCUAAUUUCGCAUACGCAUCAAAUAACAGAAUUGGAAUCCGAAAUAUUACCUGGAAUAUGCCCUUUCUGAGUCUCCAAACCGCAGAACUCGAAUCCCUUGC